rnacentral:rRNA from 1 species
ACGUAGGGUGCGAGCGUUAAUCGGAAUUACUGGGCGUAAAGCGUGCGCAGGCGGUUGUGCAAGACAGAUGUGAAAUCCCCGGGCUCAACCUGGGAACUGCAUUUGUGACUGCACGGCUGGAGUGCGGCAGAGGGGGAUGGAACUCCGCGUGUAGCAGUGAAAUGCGUAGAUAUCGAGAGGAACACCUGCGGCGAAGGCGGGUUGCUGGGCUGACACUGACGCUGAGGCGCGAAAGCCAGGGGAGCGAACGGGA